AUACCAUGAUGAGGACAUUUUCUCAAUAGUUCCUUAAACCUUUCCCACGUAUAAUACAAUGAUACUCCGUCAUUCUGAUAGAAAUUAUUGAACACACCUCUUAGUUU